GACGGAGGAGGCAAGCGUUAUCCGGAAUUAUUGGGCGUAAAGGGUACGUAGGCGGCUGAUCAAGUCUGGGGUCAAAGGCCACAGCACAACUGUGGGAAGGCCCUGGAAACUGACCGGCUAGAGUGAGGUAGGGGUUGCGGGAAUCCCCGGUGUAGCGGUGAAAUGCGUAGAGAUCGGGAAGAACACCUGAGGCGGAAGCGCGCAACUGGGCCUCAACUGACGCUGAGGUACGAAAGCUAGGGGAGCGAAUGGG
rnacentral:rRNA from 1 species